rnacentral:rRNA from 3 species
GCGGCCUUAGCGCGGUGGUCCCACCUGACCCCAUGCCGAACUCAGAAGUGAAACGCCGUAGCGCCGAUGGUAGUGUGGGGUCUCCCCAUGCGAGAGUAGGGAACUGCCAGGC